rnacentral:rRNA from 1 species
UGGCCUCGAAUCAGGUAGGGAUACCCGCUGAACUUAAGCAUAUCAAUAAGCGGAGGAAAAGAAACCAACAGGGAUUGCCUUAGUAACUGCGAGUGAAGCGGCAAGAGCUCAAAUUUGAAAUCUGGCGCCUUUGGCGUCCGAGUUGUAAUUUGGAGAGGCAUCUUCGGGUGCGGCGCCGGCCUAAGUUCCUUGGAACAGGACGUCAUAGAGGGUGAGAAUCCCGUUCUCGGCUGGCUGUCCGCGUCCAUGUGAAGUGUCUUCGACGAGUCGAGUUGUUUGGGAAUGCAGCUCAAAAUGGGUGGUAAACUCCAUCUAAAGCUAAAUACUGGCGAGAGACCGAUAGCGCACAAGUAGAGUGAUCGAAAGAUGAAAAGCACUUUGAAAAGAGAGUUAAAAAGUACGUGAAAUUGUUGAAAGGGAAGCGCUUGAGACCAGACUCGGCGGGAGGUAUUCAUCGUCCCUUCUGGGGCGUGCACUUGCCUCUCGUCGGGCCAGCAUCGGUUGCGGCGGCGGGAUAAAGACCCGGGGAACGUGGCUGCUCUCGGGCAGUGUUAUAGCCCCGGGUGUCAUGCCGCCUGCUGCGACCGAGGACCGCGC